UACAGAGGUCCCAAGCGUUGUUCGGAUUCACUGGGCGUAAAGGGUGCGUAGGCGGCGCGGUAAGUCGGGUGUGAAAUCUCGGAGCUUAACUCCGAAACUGCAUUCGAUACUGCCGUGCUUGAGGACUGGAGAGGAGACUGGAAUUUACGGUGUAGCGGUGAAAUGCGUAGAUAUCGUAAGGAAGACCAGUGGCGAAGGCGGGGUCUCUGGACAGUUCCUGACGCUGAGGCACGAAGGUCAGGGGAGCAAACGGG
rnacentral:rRNA from 1 species